GAUGAACGCUGGCGGCGUGCUUAACACAUGCAAGUCGAGCGAGGGAGUUCUUCGGAACAAUCUAGCGGCGGACGGGUGAGUAACACGUGGGCAACCUGCCUCAUAGAGGGGAAUAGCCUUCCGAAAGGAAGAUUAAUACCGCAUAACAUCGUUGAAGGGCAUCCUUCGAUGAUCAAAGGAGCAAUCCGCUAUGAGAUGGGCCCGCGGCGCAUUAGCUAGUUGGUGAGGUAACGGCUCACCAAGGCGACGAUGCGUAGCCGACCUGAGAGGGUGAUCGGCCACAUUGGGACUGAGACACGGCCCAGACUCCUACGGGAGGCAGCAGUGGGGAAUAUUGCACAAUGGGGGAAACCCUGAUGCAGCAACGCCGCGUGAGUGAUGACGGCCUUCGGGUUGUAAAGCUCUGUCUUUGGGGACGAUAAUGACGGUACCCAAGGAGGAAGUCACGGCUAACUACGUGCCAGCAGCCGCGGUAA
rnacentral:rRNA from 1 species